GACGAACGCUGGCGGCGUGCUUAACACAUGCAAGUCGAACGGAAAGGCCCUGCUUUUGUGGGGUGCUCGAGUGGCGAACGGGUGAGUAACACGUGAGUAUCCUGCCCUUGACUUUGGGAUAACUUCAGGAAACUGGGGCUAAUACCGGAUAGGAGCUCCUGCUGCAUGGUGGGGGUUGGAAAGUUUCGGCGGUUGGGGAUGGACUCGCGGCUUAUCAGCUUGUUGGUGGGGUAGUGGCUUACCAAGGCUUUGACGGGUAGCCGGCCUGAGAGGGUGACCGGGCACAUUGGGACUGAGAUACGGCCCAGACUCCUACGGGAGGCAGCGGUGGGGAAUAUUGCACAAUGGGCGGAAGCGUGAUGCAGCAACGCCGCGUGCGGGAUGACGGCCUUCGGGUUGUAAACCGAUUUCGACUGUGACGAAGCGUGAGUGACGGUAAUGGGUAAAGAAGCACCGGCUAACUACGUG
rnacentral:rRNA from 1 species